rnacentral:rRNA from 1 species
AUGGCACGGUGUCACCCCGCCGCCACCUCAGCCAAGCACCGCGCCGCCCCUCCAAACCCUAGCCCGCCCCCUCCGCCCGCCGACGGAUCGCUUCCGCUCCUCCACGCGGCGAGCCGCGGCGACCUCCGUCUCUUCAAGAGGCUGGUGAGAGAUCUGGAUCAGGGUAGGGGCCGUCCCAGGGAGGUCGUGGAAGCUGCCAAGGACCAAGGUCUCGUGGCGCUGCACUUCGCUGCCGGGAAGGGAAGGCCACGGGUGUGCAGGUACCUGGUCGAGGAGCUAGGGGUCGAUGUGGACGCCGUCGACGAUGGAGAAUUGGGCUAUAGGAAACUGUAUGUUGACCAGGAAUUUACAACCGUCAUGCUAUGUGGAUCUCGGCGGCGGCGGUGGCGGCGGAGGCUCCUCCCUCUACCCGCCCGCCGCGCUACCACCUCAUCUCGCGCUCCUGAC